CCUUUCCCCCCCACCCCGGGUGACUGGCCGAGCCGGCCUCCUCUGGGUUUCUCUAGUAGUUUCCGAGCAGCUGACGCAUGCUUGCGCGCACAGCUGGGCCGGGCGCGUCCUACGCAGCAGCCGCGAGCCGGACAGCCGGUGCCAGACGGUUCCCGGCGGGGGGCAGGGGCGGGGCGCCGCAGGAGCCAGGGACUCCGGGCGGAGGAGGAAGCCCGCCAGCCUACUGACGAGUUGCCAUGGCAUCCUACUACGACAUCCUAGACGUGCCGCGAAGUGCGUCCGCUGAUGACAUCAAGAAGGCGUAUCGUCGGAAGGCGCUACAGUGGCAUCCAGACAAGAACCCGGAUAAUAAAGAGUUUGCUGAGAGGAAGUUCAAGGAGGUGGCCGAGGCAUAUGAAGUGCUGUCGGACAAGCAUAAGCGAGAGGUCUACGACCGCUAUGGCCGGGAAGGGCUAACUGGAGCAGGAACUGGCCCAUCUCGGGCAGAAGCUGGCAGUGGUGGGCCUGGCUUCACCUUCACCUUCCGCAGCCCUGAGGAGGUCUUCCGGGAGUUCUUUGGGAGUGGAGACCCUUUUUCGGAGCUCUUUGAUGACCUGGGUCCCUUCUCAGAGCUUCAGAACCGAGGAUCCCGACACUCGGGCCCCUUCUUCACCUUCUCUUCCUCCUUCCCUGGGCACUCUGAUUUCUCCUCCUCAUCUUUCUCCUUCAGUCCUGGGGCCGGUGCUUUUCGCUCUGUUUCUAUGUCUACCACCUUUGUCCAAGGACGCCGCAUCACGACACGCAGAAUCAUGGAGAACGGGCAGGAACGGGUGGAAGUGGAGGAGGAUGGGCAGCUGAAGUCAGUCACAAUCAAUGGUGUCCCAGAUGACCUGGCACUAGGCUUGGAGCUGAGCCGUCGCGAGCAGCAACAGUCUGUCACCUCCAGAUCCGGGGGCAUGCAGAUGCGGCAGACCCCUGCAUCACGCCCCUCUGACAGUGACCUCUCUGAGGAUGACGAAGACCUUCAGCUCGCCAUGGCCUACAGCCUGUCAGAGAUGGAGGCAGCUGGGAAGAAACCAGCAGGUGGGCGGGAGGCACAGAGACGACGACGACAAGGGCCCCUCAAGGCCCAGUUCCAAGAUCUGGGCAUGCAGGGGACCCAUGAGGGUGCAAGGGGUGACACAGCCAAACCCAGCCCAACCCUAGAGGAGAAGGCCUCUCGCUGCCUCAUCCUCUGAUCACCAGGCCCAACCCACCCCAAUUUGGGUUGACUGGGGUCCUGCUCAUGUCAGGAGAGCGGAGAGGUGUGUGGCCCCUUGAACUCCAUGCCUCCCCUGCAGGUUCCCCCCAGGUCCCCUGCACUCCAGUGUGGACUCAAGCUUUGCUCUGCUGAGCUGAUAGGUCCCUGGUGAAGCCCAGGGCAGGGGCCUCAGGGCAGUGGGAGGGCCUGAGGAACCAGGAUGCACUUCUUAUUAGGGGCAUUAGUGGUUUGGGGAGGUCCUUUUGUGCCCAGGUCUUCUGCCACCUGUUGCUGAUGUCAAGGAAGGAGGACUUGGCCUGGGGUUCUGAGCCUGAGUUGGCAGCUACACUGGGGAAUCUCUGGCUCUCCUUGUCCAGCUGUGGACACCCCCCACCCUGGUUUCUGUGCAGUGUUGAGCUCUGACUGUCUCUGUUGCUUCUCUUCUGGUGCCGUUUCUUCCUCACUCUCUCCUCUCUGCAAUUCCCCAUGGGCCUCAUCGCUUGCUUUCACUGCCGUCUGGCUAGAACUCCCUUCUUCCUUCCCUGAGAAGGCCUCAGUGUGUCGAGGAAGAUGCUGUGGCCGGUAGGGCCAUAAGGUCUUCCGGGGAGGCUAGCUGGGUGGGGCGGGAGCCUCUCGGCCGUCCAGAUUCGGAACCGGAGCCCACUCCUCCUCCCUUCCUCUUGCUGCCUCAGCCUGCCCCAGGCCUCGGGACUAGGCAGAGAUGUGUUCUGAGCUGGAUGUCCAGGAUCCAGAGUUGCUGCACAGUUCCAACAGGACAGCGCUCUCCCCUGUGCCCUGGGAGGGGACCCUCCAUUCCUGUCCCUCACCCGUGCAGGGCUAGAGCUGGGCCUGGGUGGUGGGUGGGGGCUGGGUGGGAGGCGUUGGUAGUCUUAGCCUGUAAACUCUUCCCUGGGUGUUUGCUGUCGUCUCUCAUGGACUACAUGUCCCAGAAUGCAAUGCGCCCUCCUUCCAUUUCUGCUUGAGGGAAGCAGUGAGUGGUUAUGGAGCUGUGCAUCUUGGGACAAGUAGUUCCAACCCAUGUUGGCCUGUUGCUCGCUGUGAGAUGGGGAGUUCUUAUCAUUUAGUCUGUCGCUGGCAGCGGUGGUGAGAAUGUGGAUGAAGGGGUAAUGUUCUGAGCUUCAUUCCCCUGACACCUCUUGUUAGUGCCGGGGUUAGAGUGUACAGAUUAAAGUCCUGUGGCAUCUGGGAGAGGCUCUUUUCCUGUGGGCAGUACUGGGGUCUGAGGCCUGGGUGGGAUCACUAAGCAGGGUAAUGGGCUUAGACCAGCAGAGAGCUUGAAUUAAAGGGCAUUCCCGUGUGUGUGUGUGUGUGUGUGUGUGUGUGUGUGUGUGUCUGUCCAGGAUUGGCAUGAGAUGGGUGCUCCAGGCAUGUUGCUGCUUGUAUGGCUUCUUUGGCCUCUGACCCUGCUGCCCAUUCUCUCUCCAGUACACAGCUGAGCUGCCUCUCCUCCUCCCUGCCUGGGGAGCCCACUGGCCAGGGAGGGGAGUGGUGGAGCCAGGUUGUUGCCAGACCCUGUGACAUCGUGUCUCAGAGACCUAUCAAAGCCAGCUGGGCUGAGCUCAGACCAGAGGGAAACACUGGAAUUCAAUAAAGCUGAGUUUUGAGAGCUUG